AUUGAACGCUGCCGGCAGGCCUAACACAUGCAAGUAGAACGAGUGGCGGACGGGUGAGUAAUGUCUGGGAAAAUGCCCGAUGGAGGGGGAUACCUACUGGAAACGGUAGCUAAUACCGCAUACCAUCGGAUGUGCCCAGAUGGGAUUAGCUAGUAGGUGGGGUAACGGCUCACCUAGGCGACGAUCCCUAGCUGGUCUGAGAGGAUGCCCAGCCACCCUGGAGCAGAGACACGGGCCAGACGCCUACGGGAGGCAGCAGUGGGGAAUAUGGCAAAAUGGGCGCAGGCCUGAUGCAGCCAUGGCGCGGGUAUGAAGAGGGCCUGCGGGUUGUAAAGUACUUGCAGCGAGGAGGCGUUACUCGCAGAAGAAGCACCGGCUAACUCCGUGCCAGCCGCCGCGGUAAUAC
rnacentral:rRNA from 1 species